AAAGACAUAGCUAACUGGUAUUUAUAGUUAGUGUAGCCUGCCCACUGACUUAGGUUGAAGGGCCGCGGUAACUCUGACCGUGCUAAGGUAGCAUAAUCACUCGCCGCCUAAUUAGCGGCUAGCAUGAAAGGCUGAACGAGUCCCCCACUGUCUCAACCUUAGACCCGGUGAAAUUAAAACAGCCGUCAAGAUGCGGUUUACUCUUGGAAAGACGAGAAGACCCCGUGAGCUUUACUCCUGUUCACCUCAAGGCAGUCUACCCAUAGGCGAGCGAGGAGUUUGGUUGGGGCGACCUCCCAAAAACUAAGAACUUGGGAAAACCAAGGUACUUCUAAUAUCAGGGGCUUGAUAAGUGGGGGUACCUCCCGGCUUAGUAGUAGAAACUAGGUUAUAGUGACCCACCUCCUUGUGGAGGUGAAGAUGAAUAAAAGUUACCACGGGGAUAACAGGGUAAUCCAGCCUUAGAGUUCUUAUCGAAGGCAGGGCUUGCCACCUCGAUGUUGAAUAGCAGCCUCCCAGGGGUGCAGCAGCUCCUAAAGGUUGGUCUGUUCGACCAUAAAAGCUGUACUUGAUUUGAGUUCAUUCCGUCGUAAGACAGG
rnacentral:rRNA from 1 species